GCAUCAUGGGAAAAAGUAUAAGGGGGGAAAAAUGAACACAUUACUACCAAAAUGCUGUUAAAGAUUGGAGAAGAAAAUAAAUUUCAGAGAAUCUUUACAGGCAAGAGCAAAGUACAGAAGUUAGAUCUGUCCUGCUGAACCAAUUUAAAUGACCUUUAUGGGAACCUUUUAGUUUCUUUUACGGUACAGCGAUGAGCACCUCUAAAGCACAGGACUGACUAUGUUGGAGAACUUAGCUAUAUCAAGAAAUUAGGUCCACAAAAAAUUUAAAAUGGGAGGCUUAACAAAGAUAAUUUUACCAAUUCUUCAAAGAUUUUGACAAUAAAUGUUUGCUUCAGGGAGGUCAAAUGGAGAUAUAGUGACCCACAGAUACAACCUUAGUUACAAACCUGGACUGGUUCAUCGAAAUAAAAGUUGUUCCACAGCACACAGAUAUCAGAAAGCUGAAAUGCCGACUAUAGCAGUAACUUUGGUUAAACAGAAAUAAUAUACAAAAAAUGAUACCUGGUAGAUCCCCAAAAUCUUUGCCAAGCAAGUUGGACUCCCACUAGCUAUCGAUUCAGAUAAAUACUUAAAGUAAGCUGGUGCAAACUUGAUAAAUGACUCCAACUCUGUCUUUGUUACCUGCUUGAUGAUAAAUCGGUCAUCCAAGGUUUUGGCAAAGAAAACAUUGCUUUGCCACCCUGUGCACCCCAUUUUUUACAUCGGCUAAGCGGCCGUAUGAAGUCUAAUUAUCCAAGGUUUUGGCAAAGAAAACAUUGCUCUUGCCACCCUGUGCACCCCAUUUUUUACAUCGGCUAAGGGACCGUAUGAAGUCUAAUUCAUAGGGGAAACAAGACUUUCUUAAGGUCUCAAAAUGCUUUGCAUAAUAACAGGUGACUGUGUACUUAACCU
rnacentral:lncRNA from 1 species